GCCUCCCUGUUGCUGCACGUCUGCACAGGGUGAAGAUUUCGGUCGGAAUUCCCUAAAUCGCAGCCAUUAGAGGAGUUUCUUGGUUCACAAAGGGUACGAUUGGUAGCGGAAUCCAUAGCUGAGGAAAUUGGGUGUUCUACCAGAUUCCCGACCAAAAUUGUCCAAUGGGUGGCUGCUGGAAUGGUGGGGGGAUUGUCAGACAAGCUUGGCUAUAGGAUUUAGGAUGCUUGAUUUGCUGUGGUGAUUCUUUCUUUAGCUGAAGAUUGAAAGAAGAAGGCUAUUAAGGUUAGUUUUCAUGGUAAACCUUAAUCCGAUCAAUGAAUAUAUUGAUACUAGUUUAAGUAUGUGAUAUUAUGUGGUGUUGAUGAAUUGAUAAGGAUUGGUAUUGUAUUAUGUUGGAGAUUUUGUGAUUUGUGGGUGCUUGGAUAAAUUGUGAUCGGUGGAUUUAGAAGGGGUUUAUAAUGAGGUUGAUUAAUGGAUGAAUUAGGGUAGGUUAUGUUGGAUUUAAUAUCGUAUUGGAUUUGGAUCACUAGGUGGAUUUAAACAUGAUCGUUAUUGGUAUGUAUUGGAUUGAUUGAGGUUUGUAUUAGGUUGAAAUUUGUGGAUAUGGUGAUUGGUUAAUAUAGGUUGUUAUGUGAUCCUUCUUAGGAUUAUUGGGCUGAUUUUUGGUUGGAUUAUCAGAUGUGGAUGGAUUUGGGUAGUUGUUGAUGAUGAUGUUAUGUGAUGUGGAUUUAUGACAGUGAUUUGAUUUUAUGAUAGGCUAUUGUGGUUGGAUAUCAUUAUGCGGAGAUUUGUUAUUGGAUUAAAUGAUGUGUUGAUUUGAGAGAUUAGUCAAAGAUCGGAUGUGAUUGGAGUGAUG